AUGACCAUCAACGCCCUGGCACGCCAAGUCCUCAUUAGCGCUGGUGGCUUCUUCGAGAUGACCGUCUGUCCAGGUGAGCACGCACUGAGAAUCUCCUCUGAAGUCUAUAGGAACUGGAACUUCACCGAGCAGGCACUGCCGGUAGACCUGAUCAAGAGAGGUGUGGCGAAGGAGGACACGGAGAGCCCGUGCGGAGUGUCGCUGCACAUCAAGGACUAUCCGUACGCGGUGGAUGGGUUGGCCGUCUGGUCGGCCAUCGAGACUUGGGUCGACGAGUACUGCAGGAUCUACUACCCCUGUGAUGACGUGCUUCGGUCCGACGUCGAGCUACAGGCAUGGUGGAAGGAGGUGCGUGAGGUCGGCCAUGGCGACAUCAAAGACCAGCCCUGGUGGCCCAAGAUGACAACCGUGAACGAGCUCGUCAGGUCAUGUGCCACCAUCAUCUGGAUCGCCUCUGCGCUGCAUGCGGCCGUCAACUUUGGCCAGUACUCAUACGCCGGCUACCUCCCCAACCGUCCGACGGUGAGCCGACGGCAGAUGCCGGAGCCGGGCACCAAGGAGUACAAGGAGGUGGAGACUGACCCGGACCUGGCCUUCAUCCACACCAUCACGAGCCAGCUCCAAAGCAUCAUUGGAGUGUCGGUGAUCGAGGUCCUGUCCAACCACUCCUCCGACGAAGUCUACCUGGGGCAGCGCGAUGAGCCAAAGUGGACAUCAGAUGUGAAGGCGAAAAAGGCGUUCGAGGACUUCAGCCAGAAGUUGAUCGACAUCGAGAAGAGAAUCAUGAAUAUGAACGCGAAUCGCCAACUCAAGAACCGGAAUGGGCCAGCAAAAUUCCCCUACAUGCUUCUCUACCCCAACACAUCUGACAUCGAUGGUGAGAGCGCCACCGGGAUCACAGCCAAGGGCAUCCCCAACAGCAUCUCCAUCUGA
rnacentral:rRNA from 1 species